GUUCUGUAGAUGUCUAUUAUGUCCAAUUGGUCAAAUGUCGAAUUUAACUCCAGGAUUUCUUUGUUAGUUUUCUGCCUUGAUGAUCUAACUCUGUCAAUGGGAUGUUGAAGUCACCCACUCCCAUGGUGUGGCUAAGUAUUUUUAUCUUUCUCCUACCCUUUACCUUGAGUCUAUCAGUGUCAUCACGUGUAAGAUGGGUCUCUUGAAGACAGCAGAUGGUAAUUGAUCUUAGAAAUUAUAUCUGGAGGUGCAGGUUGAGGUAUCCAAAGAGGAAAGAGUGGCAAUAUUUUGGGAGUUUCCAGUCAACAAUAAAGGACCAAGAGUGUCCAGCACAGGAGUGGCCUCAGUGAUUGAAGUAUCUUUAAAUGUGUUAUUGUGGAAUUAUUUUCUUGCCAAAUACCUUCGUCAAGCAAAAAUUACUGGUCUCAUGAGAGCUGAAGUAACUCAGCUCUUUGGCGAACUUCAGUGG